CACGUAGGGCGCAAGCGUUGUCCGGAAUUAUUGGGCGUAAAGAGCUCGUAGGCGGUCUGUUGCGUCCGCUGUGAAAACUCGGGGCUUAACCCCGAGCCUGCAGUGGAUACGGGCAGACUAGAGGUAGGUAGGGGAGAAUGGAAUUCCCGGUGUAGCGGUGAAAUGCGCAGAUAUCGGGAGGAACACCGGUGGCGAAGGCGGGUCUCUGGGCCUUACCUGACGCUGAGGAGCGAAAGCGUGGGGAGCGAACAGG
rnacentral:rRNA from 1 species